rnacentral:rRNA from 1 species
AUGUACCUUCCUCAGGUGUCAAAUGUGAUGAUGUACCUGGUCGUUCAAAUCUUACCUCCAUCUUGGUACAACGAGAAGGAGUUACGAAACGUGUGCUGGGUUCAUGGUUGA